AGUGAACGCUGGCGGCGUGCUUAACACAUGCAAGUCGAACGAGAACGGAAUAUAGCUUGCUAUAUUUGUCAGCUAAGUGGCGCACGGGUGAGUAAUGUAGAGAUAACCUGCCCUUACGAAAGGAAUAACAGUUGGAAACGACUGCUAAUGCCCUAUAUGCCUUUAAUACAUAAGUCUGCAAGGGAAACGCUUUAGUGCUUAAGGAUGGGUCUGUAUGGUAUCAGUUUGUUGGUGAGGUAAGGGCUCACCAAGGCUAUGACGCCUAACUGGUUUGAGAGGAUGAUCAGUCACACUGGAACUGAGACACGGUCCAGACUCCUACGGGAGGCAGCAGUGGGGAAUAUUGCACAAUGGACGAAAGUCUGAUGCAGCAACGCCGCGUGGAGGAUGACACAUUUCGGUGCGUAAACUCCUUUUAUAUAGGAAGAUAAUGACGGUACUAUAUGAAUAAGCACCGGCUAACUCCGUGCCAGCCGCCGCAGUAA
rnacentral:rRNA from 1 species